CUAAGGAGAGUUUGUCUGCAUAACUUCAGGACUCUGUGCAAACUCAAGCACCUGACAGUAUAAGAAUAAAUAUCUUAUUUUUCAUUCACCUAUUUUUCAUUUCACUCACUUAUUUUAAGCUCCUCUUCACAAUUUUCCACCUAAAGCAUAAUUCCAACCAUGACUAACACGAAGUCAUUUUUGUUGCCUGCAUAUGUUGCAUGCAUGUGAGGAGUUUUUAGUCAUUCAUAGUAUUGGUUUGAUUUGAAUUAAAUCUUUCUGAAUGUGCCUAUUCAAGUAACCUUUUGCUUCCAAUUCUUGAAAGAAAUAACUUUCAUGUCACCAGGCACAGCCUCCCAGAAUGAAAACCUGGGCACAAAAGGAUGGAUGAUGGGAUGCAAAGGGAAGAAAGGAAGGGGAAGGCUUGGUGUCUCUGAAAGGAGAAGAGCAGAAAUAUGGAAAGAAUUCAAAGAGAAGGCAGUAAAAACCCCACCAGUUCAACACAAACAUCUUCUUCGCUUUCUAAAAUCCGUGGGCUGAGGUGUUCCACCUGCCAGGUGGAAACACAGACCAGAAAAAUCACAGCAAGUUCCUGGAAAGUAGGAACAGAGCAGGAGCAGGCCCAAGAGGAGGUGUCACACCUGCCAAGUCACCCAGCCAGGAGCAAACUUGGUUUUGGACUCCCAGAAAGGUGUGUGAAAGAGUCUUAAAAAUCACAAAAUAAGGCAAUGUGAUGUCUCUGGGACCUGCCCACGCACUGAGCUUUGACACUUACCUUGAAGUAUUUUAGUGUAAGGUGGGUGUAAGGCUUUGGUAUCAUCCCCUUAGUCUUAAGCAGAAAACUAAAGUUUUAAGCAGAGAGCCUUGACA
rnacentral:lncRNA from 1 species